rnacentral:misc_RNA from 1 species
AAGAAAAAAAAAAUUAAAAAAAAAGAACUGAAGACCUAUAUGGUAUACAAUAAGCCGAUCCCUACGGUAAUUCUCAUUGAUCACACACCAAUGAAUAAUUUAUGGCCAAAACAAGAGAGUCGUAGAUGGCUACUCUAAUGAACCAUAACUAAGAAAAAUUCCCAACAAUAUCCAACCAAGAAAUUUGGAGUUGUUUCAUAAGCCGAAAUGCUUUAUUAGGAAGCAGCCAUUGUAGGUUAAGCCAGCUUCAUCUUCUUUUAACUUUCACCAGCCAUGGAAACUAUUAAUUAAUUGCUCGUCUUCGUCAUCGUUAUCAAACUCAAAUUGUGCUACUCACCUAAGUUCGAGAAUGUUAGCUGGCGGUAAAGCACCAUCUUCUCAUCAUCGGCAUCUAGAUCAAGACCAUCCUCCCCCUCAUAGUUCAUUUCGAUAACACUUCUGUCUUUAACAGAUGGUUCUUCAGCUUCAAAUAACUGAACUUGAGAGUAUUCUCCACUUCUAGGUGAAUCAUCUAACAUCAACUGUUCCAUCUCUGAUUCUAUCAAUGCUUGCAUCUGAGCCCGCUCUCUGUCUCUUGGAUAGGUACAAUAGAGGAAAGAAUAAAUGAAACAACACAGGGCCAUUGGUACUCCUAUUGCUGUAUACAAAGCUUUGGCUAAUGAUGCAGCAUUUCUUCUAUCUGUAUCAAUCUCUUCAUAUUCAGUAGAUCCAUUAAGAAUGGGUUUAUAACCAUAAACAUGUUGAGCUAGUAUUCCAACUAUUGGAGGAGCAAAUGAUGACAGUAUGGACUCGAAUGAUCGAUCCAAAGCAUAGACGCUUGUCCGGGAUCUCUCAGGAACUAUUUCUGCAAAAAUUGGAUUGUUUGUAGCUGGAGCAUUCCAAGUGAUGCACAACCCCAUAAUGACCAAAACAAAUCCAUGUGCGAUUGCUGUUGAUGGAUCAUCAGGUAAAGCCAACAGAAGCAAUGCUGCUAGAGGGAUUGCUGAUGCAGAGCUUAUCUGUGCUAGAAUUAUUCUUCCAGAGUUUGGGAAACGUGUGGAAAGGAUAUCUCCCAUUUUGCCUCCAAAAAGGCCCCCAAAGGAACCAGCAAUUACAAACGAUGCUAGGAGAAAUGCAGUUUUCUCAUGGGAGAAGCCAAUAAGCUCUAACCACAUUGCUGAAAACGUCAUAGCUGACCAAGGGAAUGAACCAGUAAUUCCCUGAGCCACAAUUAUCUGGAAAGAUGAAAUUUUUAUAACUGAUUUGGCUUCUUGAAACAGAUCCUUCACUUCUGACCAAAAGGAUUUACUUGCAUCUUGAUUCCUAGCUUUCACAUUAUCAUCUGAAAAGUGUGGAUCACGGGCAAAAAGGUAGACUAAUACUCCUACUACAAUACUAAUUAUUCCAACAAGAUGGAAUGAAAGCCUCCAUCCAGGGAUUCCCAUAAAUGUUAUUGGAGCUAUCAAUAGUGAACAGAGUCCCCCAAUAACCGAACCAAGGUUGGCUGUUAGUUGUAGCCAUCCAAAGGCUGUGCCACGGUUGCUAUCAUUGGUUGAAUCAGCUACAAGGGACUGGAUAGCAGGUGCAACUAUAGCAAGCCCAAUGCCAUUCAAAGCUCUCGAUACAGCCACCUGUUUGAGAAAAGCUGAAUGACUUGAAAAGCAAUAAUAUCAGUUGCUAUGCUACGGAUUAUGGUUCUUAGGUUGCACAUCAUAGAAUGUCUUAUGAUUGUUACCAAAAAUCACAUAAUAAAAUCUCACGCGUAAAGUGAAACGUACUUAUUUUUAACUAUUUUCUUUAUGUUCGAUAUGAGGCAGUUGAAACUUUAUGCACAAUUUAAAUUGACAGGGAGCACUUGGAACCAGAUGAAAGUGAAUUAUUUGAGUUCAACUAAAUUUGAAGUGAGCAUGCAACAAUUUAAUCUUCUGUAACAUAUAAUGGAUGAACCCACUCCAUACAGAGAAGCUCACUUAUCAACUUCAGUGGCAUCUAAAUAGAAUCAUUCCAUUUUUUAACCUGUUCAAAUCCUCAGAGAACUUCACCAUUCAUAAAAUCAAGGCCUCUCAUUAAAUUACACAGAUCUCAUUCUUCUCAUCUUAGCAGGCUAUCAUUUUCAAGUGACAAACGAAAAGUUUUUCAUUGCUUAUAAAUUUAUAUAAAACACUUCCUCUGAGUCCAGGCAUUUAAGCCACGCUCCAAAUCCCUGUUAAAUUUGAGGUUUGCUCAAGUUUCUCUCAUUCCCUCGUUAGGUAUUAUAAAUCAAUCAGAUUCAGCAUUGAAUCAGAAGCCAAAGAUAAAUUUGAAUUCUAUAUAUUUCAGCAAUUCAUUCACAGCAUUACUAGUGAUUAAAUUUCCAUAUUAAAAAUCCACACUUCCCCCAAUGUCAAGACAAUAAAGCUGUUAAGUCUUUGUCAUAUGAAUCUCAGUCACGAAUAAAGAAUGAAACCAAACUUAGAAGGAAUAUCCUCGCAUUAUUCUAUUCUGUGCAAUACAAUUGAUGACAGAUAACCCUUUAUAAUUUUCUUUCCCAGCAUUCUACUGUAAAAUCAAGAACAGCCUUCCGUAAUUACGAUUCAAGAAUCAGUAACUACCACAAUCAGCAAUCCAAAGGCCAAUUAACAACUCCACAGAUCAUUAUUCAAUUUCAUGUUUAAAGAUGAUAAUGAAUUAAAUUUGUUGUAAUCAGAUGUAUAUAAUAGUAAUUAGGUGCUCAACCAAACCCAAUUCGACUAAACCAAACCCAAUUCGACUAAUCCCAACUAUUAGACUUGGUUUGACUCUCUCAUUUAUGUUAGACAAUCAAUUAAAGAAACACAAAAUUACAUCGCCUAAACAUC